AACGAACGCUGGCGGCAGGCUUAACACAUGCAAGUCGAGCGCCCCACAAGGGGAGCGGCAGACGGGUGAGUAACGCGUGGGAAUCUACCCAUCUCUACGGAAUAACGCAUGGAAACGUGUGCUAAUACCGUAUACGUCCUUCGGGAGAAAGAUUUAUCGGAGAUGGAUGAGCCCGCGUUGGAUUAGCUAGUUGGUGGGGUAAAGGCCUACCAAGGCGACGAUCCAUAGCUGGUCUGAGAGGGUGAUCAGCCACACUGGGACUGAGACACGGCCCAGACUCCUACGGGAGGCAGCAGUGGGGAAUAUUGGACAAUGGGCGCAAGCCUGAUCCAGCCAUGCCGCGUGAGUGAUGAAGGCCUUAGGGUUGUAAAGCUCUUUUAUCCGGGACGAUAAUGACGGUACCGGAGGAAUAAGCCCCGGCUAACUUCGUGCCAGCCGCCGCGGUAAUAC
rnacentral:rRNA from 1 species